GAUGAACGCUGGCGGCGUGCUUAACACAUGCAAGUCGAAUGAUGAAGCCCAGCUUGCUGGGUGGAUUAGUGGCGAACGGGUGAGUAACACGUGAGUAACCUGCCCUUAACUCUGGGAUAAGCCUGGGAAACUGGGUCUAAUACCGGAUAGGAGCGUCCACCGCAUGGUGGGUGUUGGAAAGAUUUAUCGGUUUUGGAUGGACUCGCGGCCUAUCAGCUUGUUGGUGAGGUAAUGGCUCACCAAGGCGACGACGGGUAGCCGGCCUGAGAGGGUGACCGGCAACACUGGGACUGAGACACGGCCCAGACUCCUACGGGAGGCAGCAGUGGGGAAUAUUGCACAAUGGGCGCAAGCCUGAUGCAGCGACGCCGCGUGAGGGAUGACGGCCUUAGGGUUGUAAACCUCUUUCAGUAGGGAAGAAGCGAAAGUGACGGUACCUGCAGAAGAAGCACCGGCUAACUAAGUG
rnacentral:rRNA from 1 species